rnacentral:rRNA from 1 species
AGUGAACGCUGGCGGUAGGCCUAACACAUGCAAGUCGAACGGCAGCACAGUAAGAGCUUGCUCUUACGGGUGGCGAGUGGCGGACGGGUGAGGAAUACAUCGGAAUCUACUUUUUCGUGGGGGAUAACGUAGGGAAACUUACGCUAAUACCGCAUACGACCUACGGGUGAAAGCAGGGGAUCUUCGGACCUUGCGCGAUUGAAUGAGCCGAUGUCGGAUUAGCUAGUUGGCGGGGUAAAGGCCCACCAAGGCGACGAUCCGUAGCUGGUCUGAGAGGAUGAACAAGCAAACUGGAACUGAGACACGGUCCCAAAUCCUAAGGGAAGCAGGAGUGGGGAAUAUUGGACAAUGGGCGCAAGCCUGAUCCAGCCAUACCGCGUGGGUGAAGAAGGCCUUCGGGUUGUAAAGCCCUUUUGUUGGGAAAGAAAAGCAGCAGGUUAAUACCCCGCUGUUCUGACGGUACCCAAAGAAUAAGCACCGGCUAACUUCGUG